CUAAAGACUCAUUUACUCCACCGAUCAUGCCCAAUCGGUUUCUGGAUGUUCACAGUUGCUAGGUGCCCGCCGGUGUUGAUGGUUAGCCAGUCGAGUUGGCUGGCAGAGAGCGGUGAGCAGUUAUGGUGUGCCCAGACGAGGUAAGAAGACCUGGGUUUGCUGGUUUCAGCGAAGAAGAUGACUGAUAUACUAAGAUGACAGAUUUGCCCUCACAAUUUUGACAGAAAUCACACAAAUUAACGGAGUAAUUGCCGGUGUGUACAUAAGUUGGUUCGUGCUUUUAACUUCACACACUAUUGUGGUAUUAUCGAAAGUAAAAUCACCAUAAUUCUCAGUGGUCAAUGGAAAUAG
rnacentral:lncRNA from 1 species